GACGAACGCUGGCGGCGUGCCUAAUACAUGCAAGUCGAACGCACAGUUUAUACCGUAGCUUGCUACACCAUAGACUGUGAGUUGCGAACGGGUGAGUAACGCGUAGGUAACCUGCCUGGUAGCGGGGGAUAACUAUUGGAAACGAUAGCUAAUACCGCAUAAUAUUAAUUAUUGCAUGAUAAUUAAUUGAAAGGUGCAAUUGCAUCACUACCAGAUGGACCUACGUUGUAUUAGCUAGUAGGUGAGGUAACGGCUCACCUAGGCGAAGAUACAUAUCCGACCUGGGAGGGUGAUCGGCCACACUGGGACUUAGACACGGCCCAGACUCCUACGGGAGGCAGCAGGAGGGAAUCUUCGGCAAUGGGCGAAAGUCUGACCGAGCAACGCCGCGUGGGUGAAGAAGGUUUUCGGGUCGUAAAGCUCUGUUGUAAGGGAAGAACGGGUGUUGGAGUGGAAAGUUCACACUGUGACGGUAUCUUACCAGAAAGGGACGGCUAACUACGUG
rnacentral:rRNA from 1 species